rnacentral:rRNA from 1 species
UACGUAGGGGGCAAGCGUUGUCCGGAAUCAUUGGGCGUAAAGAGCGUGUAGGCGGCCCGGUAAGUCCGCUGUGAAAGUCCAGGGCUCAACCCUGGGAUGCCGGUGGAUACUGUCGAGCUCGAGUCCGGAAGAGGCGAGUGGAAUUCCUGGUGUAGCGGUGAAAUGCGCAGAUAUCAGGAGGAACACCAAUGGCGAAGGCAGCUCGCUGGGACGUGACUGACGCUGAGACGCGAAAGCGUGGGGAGCAAACAGG